rnacentral:rRNA from 1 species
GUGGGGAAUCUUAGACAAUGGGGGAAACCCUGAUCUAGCCAUGCCGCGUGAGCGAUGAAGGCCUUAGGGUUGUAAAGCUCUUUCAGCUGGGAAGAUAAUGACGGUACCAGCAGAAGAAGCCCCGGCUAACUCCGUGCCAGCAGCCGCGGUAAUACGGAGGGGGCUAGCGUUGUUCGGAAUUACUGGGCGUAAAGCGCGCGUAGGCGGACCAGAAAGUUGGAGGUGAAAUCCCAGGGCUCAACCUUGGAACUGCCUUCAAAACUCCUGGUCUGGAGUUCGAGAGAGGUGAGUGGAAUUCCGAGUGUAGAGGUGAAAUUCGUAGAUAUUCGGAGGAACACCAGUGGCGAAGGCGGCUCACUGGCUUGAUACUGACGCUGAGGUGCGAAAGCGUGGGGAGCAAACAGGAUUAGAUACCCGUGUAGUCC